GACGAACGCUGGCGGCGUGCUUAACACAUGCAAGUCGAACGGAAAGGCCCUGCUCUUGUGGGGUGCUCGAGUGGCGAACGGGUGAGUAACACGUGAGUAACCUGCCCUUGACUUUGGGAUAACUUCAGGAAACUGGGGCUAAUACCGGAUAGGAGCUCCUGCUGCAUGGUGGGGGUUGGAGAGUUUCGGCGGUUGGGGAUAGACUCGCGGGUUAUCAGCUUGAUGGUGGGGUAGUGGCUUACCAAGGGUUUGACGGGUAGCCGGCCUGGGAGGGGGACCGGGCACAUUGGUACUGAGAGAGGGCGCAGUCGCCUAUGGGAGGCAGCAGGGGGGAAUAUUGCACAAUGGGCGGAAGCCAGAUGCAGCAACGCCGCGUGCGUGAUGACGGCCUUUGGGUUGUAAACAGCUUUGGCCGGUGACGAAGCGUGAGUGACGGUAAUGGGUAAAGAAGCACCGGCUAACUACGUG
rnacentral:rRNA from 1 species